rnacentral:rRNA from 1 species
UACGUAGGCAGCAAGCGUUGUUCGGAGUUACUGGGCGUAAAGGGUGUGUAGGCGGUUAUUUAAGUUUGGUGUGAAAUCUCCCGGCUCAACCGGGAGGGUGCGCCGAAUACUGAAUGACUUGGAGUGCGGGAGAGGAAGUGGAAGUUCCUGGUGUAGCGGUGAAAUGCGUAGAUAUCAGGAGGAACACCGGUGGUGUAGACGGCUUCUGGACCGUAACUGACGCUGAGACAGAAAGCGUGGGGUAGCAAACAGG